AUGCCAGAGUAGCGUUGUGGUAGAGAACUGUGGGACCUGAGAGCACUUUGACCAUCUAACGGCAGCUAUUUGUGUACAGCAAAUUCCUAACACUUCCUGGCAUCGAGGGAUCAUCCCUGUGCUGUUCAGACCAUCGGAUCAAAUCUAAGAGCCCCUAGGAGCAUCAUCAGAUAAUCUCUACUCCUGCUUUCAUGCCACAGUGCUGGUGUAGGGGAAUCUGGGCAAUAGGACCAACUUGACCAUGUCAUAAGAGCAGUUGCCCAAUGCAUUUCCCAGCCUCGAGGACCCCAUCUCUCUGUUUGAACGAUCUGGUCAAAUCUCAGACCUGCCCUGCCCUCGAGAUGGAACCA